AGAGGGUUUUGUAUUCAUAAAUUCACGUUCACACCAAAGAACCAGGGUCCAGAUACAUUCCCUUCCUCUCUCGGUUCUCAAUUCUCAAUUCCAAAUUCCAAAUUAGGGUUAGGGCUUUCAAUGACCGUCUCGUCUUCCUUCCCCUCACAAUCCCUAAUCCACCACCGCUUCUACUCCCUCUGUUGUUUUUGUUGUUGCUGUGGUUCUCAGGGAUUAUAAGUAACUAAAUUUACGUAUCCCAUUGUUUCACUAUCGUCUUCAAUGGACCUCUCUCACUCUCAAUCCAACUUGUCCCUCGGAUUUUCCUCCUCUCACUCUUCGCCGCUUCGCCGUUCCGACCCGCCGGUUCCGCUGCAGCUGCUGGAACCGGCGCAGCCGCCGGAGAACGGAAGUUUGGACGUCGAAUCGGAUGACGACGACGACAGAGAAGUGGAAGAGUUUCGAAUUCUGGGCCACUCAAUGUGCCUGAAGAGGCGAAGAGAUUGCGACUCAUCGUCCUCGUCCUCCACGAAGAGGGUUUCGGUGGAUCCCGAUCUCGACGCGCGGAAGGUUGCCGUGCGUGCGUGGGGCUGCCAACCGCUUUCAAUCGCGGACCCCGACAUCCACGAGAUAAUGGAAAAGGAGAAGAAGAGGCAAUUUCGUGGGAUUGAACUCAUAGCGUCCGAGAAUUUCGUGUGCAGGGCUGUGAUGGAGGCGUUGGGAAGCCACUUGACGAAUAAGUACUCUGAAGGAAUGCCCGGUGCGCGAUAUUACGGUGGUAAUCAGUACAUCGACGAAAUCGAAACGCUCUGUUGCGAACGCGCGUUGAACGCGUUCGGUCUCGACCCCAAGUGCUGGGGGGUGAACGUGCAGCCGUAUUCGUGCACCUCUGCGAAUUUCGCUGUUUACACGGGGCUGUUGUUGCCCGGUGAUCGUAUCAUGGGGUUGGAUACCCCGUCUGGAGGGAAUACUAGUCACGGUUACUAUACUCCCAAUGGGAAGAAAGUUUCCGGGGCUUCUAUUUUCUUUGAGAGCCUGCCUUACAAGGUGAACCCUCAAACGGGUUAUAUUGAUUAUGAUAAGCUUGAGGAAAGGGCGCUUGAUUUUCGCCCCAAGAUACUUAUAUGUGGUGGGAGUUCUUAUCCCCGAGAGUGGGAUUACGCGAGGUUCAGACACAUUGCGGACAAGUGUGGAGCUGUGUUGUUGUGUGACAUGGCACAAAUUAGUGGCAUAAUUGCGGCCAAGGAAUGUGUGAAUCCUUUUGAUUAUUGUGACAUUGUUACUUCGACAACUCACAAGAGUCUUCGAGGUCCAAGGGGAGGUAUAAUAUUUUAUCGGAAAGGUUCAAAGCCGAGGAAGAGAGGGAUUCUUCUAAGUCAGGGUCAUGAAAGUGAUCAAUAUGACUUUGAAGAAAAGAUAAAUUUUGCUGUUUUUCCAUCAUUGCAAGGGGGCCCGCACAAUAACCACAUUGCUGCACUUGCUAUAGCUUUAAAACAAGUGGCUACUCCUGAGUAUAAGGCCUACAUGCAGCAGGUGAAGAAGAAUGCUCAAGCUUUAGCAUGUGCUUUACAGAGAAGGAAAUGCCGUUUAGUGACUGGGGGUACAGACAACCAUUUAAUACUUUGGGAUUUAAGGCCCCUGGGAUUGACAGGUAAAUUCUACGAGAAGGUCUGUGAAGCAUGUCAUAUUACAUUGAAUAAAAUUGCUAUAUUUGGGGACAAUGGAACUAUAAUUCCCGGAGGUGUUAGAGUUGGUACUCCUGCUAUGACGUCAAGAGGGUGUCUGGAACCUGAUUUUGAGACAAUGGCUGAUUUUCUCAUUAGAGCUGCACAGAUUGCAAGCAUACUGCAGAGGGAGCACGGGAAACUUCAGAAGACAGCAUUAAAAGGACUUGAGAGCCAUAGGGACGUUGUUGAGCUCCGAGCACGUGUCGAGGCGUUUGCAACUCAGUUUGCUAUGCCGGGUUUUGACAUUUGAGCAUGAUGUGGCUUGUAAAUUGCCAUUAUUGAUUAUUUAUAUAUGCUACGAUUGUGGGUCGUCGAGCCUGCUUUUACAAAAGCACAGCUUGUGCAUAUAUUUUGUGGAGUUUCUCUCCUCUCUGCGUUGUAUGCAGUUGUCAGGUUUUCACAUGUUGCAGUGAGCUGCAAUCUGGUGCAAGACUGUACGAAGGUACUGCAUACUUCUGUGGAGGUUUCGUUUGGCGAUCAAGUAUCUUGUUCCUACCUUGGAGGUGUCACCAUCCCAUCUGAAUGCAUGAAGUUGAAGCUAUUAUAGGUUUGGAACAGGGAUUCUUGAUCAACCAACCUGAGUACAGAGUUCUUCUGGUGAAUCUACAGAAAAUAAUUUCUCUGAUAGAGAUAUUUCAGAAGCGCCUGAGUUCAUACGCAAGGAAUUAAAGCGUUUUGGGUUUAACUGGGCCAGUUACAAGAUAUCUUCUCAAACCAUCUAAGUGUGGGUUCGUGCCAUCAAACCUUGGGGAUUAGGCCAUUUAUCCACUUGGUAAUGUAAGUCUGCAAUGGGUAUAAUUUUCUUUUUGGUUCAAAUUCACCUACUACCACUUACUAAAACAAGGAUGGUUUAAAAUCAAUGUUUCUUUCAGUUUCAUUUAUCACAACCUUUUUAAUAUACAA